AAUUUUGUUUUUGGUUUUUGCACUUAAUUUGACUCCUACUGGAAAAAUUUAGGAGCUAUUUUUUCCAUACAAACCAUUACCACCCUAAUGAACGAUAUCAGUAGUGAAUGCGUGUAGCGAUUGUAUAUGAAUACCGGGACAGAAACAUGUCUGGACGUGCGUAAUAUGUCCUAAGAAUCACGUUUACGUCAUUGAGAAUCGUGUUUAAAUGAAUUCUCAAAAAUGUAUGUGGUCGUUUCUUGGUUCCUUUUCUCUGCUAUUUUUUCUACCCGUAACGCAACGCAUACUACUCAAACUAAAGCUCUUCGUUCUCACGAAAUGUGUCACAAAAAGCAGCACAAAGUGUUGUUCCGUUCACCCUCUCUUAAAAUAUUCAUCACUUGGUAAUAUCUUUCAUAGUCAUGUCGUUUCCCGCAUAAUCAAUAGCCAUAAACGGAUGAUAAUCCAUAUGGUUUAACGAUACUCCAUACAGUCGAAACUAUAUCAAGAACAAGUUGUUAGGCACGUUUUAUGGUUAUUGAUUAUGCGGGUUUCGCUCUUUUUCUUUGUGCCUGUUGGUUGUCAAAAUGUGUAGGUACCGUUCUCGUUGUGCCUUGACGUAAAAUUGAUACACUGAGCGCAAUGAGUGUGCGAAUGACGGCCCUGGACACGAGGCAUAUGGAUGCUAUGCUAGGCCGAAAAGAUACGCGGCGAAUACGGUAUCAAAUGAUAGCCUGAGAUUUAACUAUCGUGACCUAGGGGCUAGAUACCUUUAUUUAUUUUGGGAAAUAUUCAAAAAAUAUUACUCAAUAUCGUAAAUAUUAUUUCGUAUUACGUAAUUUUCUCAUCACACCAGCAUUGCUACCAUCCUUACGGACAAGUCUGAAAUGUCGAAUGGAACUGUCAAACUGUUCAAAACAACAAAACCAAAAACGUGUUUAUUGAACGCAACAACGUGAAUCCAGUAGAAAACAACAGCUUUGAAUGUUUUUAACAAAUUUUAAAGAUAAAUUGUGUAACUAUGGCUAGCUCUAGUGAAAAUGAAAAUUUUUGGAAACGACUUGAGGUCGAUGUGGGUCGUAUUCUACCACACAUAAAGCAUAUAAUUAACCUCGAAGGACUAACUGGAAAUGUUGCUUUAAGACUUCUAACUGAUAAUCAUAUUGACAAUUUGGAAAAACAAAUGCGUGAGCGAGGAACAGUAAGAAUGUUGCACGAGCUAACUUUGAAUCCAAAUUUAUGCACGAGUUCAUACUUUCGCGAUUUUUCGUCGACACCUGAGUUGUUUCUAUUUUCGAUUGGGGACCGCAAAGUGUUGCAUGCUAUUUCAUAUACUAUUCAGCAGAAUGGUAUACAAAAGUAUAUGAGUGACAAUGAAGUGUUUGGCGAUUAUCCAAAUUCUGAACAAGAGAAUUGAAAUCAUUAAAAAAUAUUACCAAAAGAGGUCAACUGAUUAUCCAAUUUUCCAUCGUUUGAUGAACUCUUUGGAGAAACUUGAAAUCAAUUUAGAAAAAGAGACAGGCGGCUCGUGUAUAGGCCACAUAUCAUGUGGCUUAUGUGUACCCACCUUCAAUGGUACUCCCAAAUUUCUGAAAAUCGUAAAACUACCAAGAACAAAAUGGAGCAUUUCUAAUUUAGUUAAGCAUUUUGAAAAGCAUAUCGAACCAAAAACGAAGCGGCGUCGGGUAGAAGUACCCAUCGACUCAAGUGACGUCCCGCAAUAUGAAGCAGUGUGCUUAUCACACUCAAACGAUAGAUCGGAUUGUUACAGUAUGUCGGACGACGAGUACCAAGGUACGACAUUUUGGAAUGCGGCCCAAUCAAUGAUGUAUUCGCAACCAACACACAUAUGAGUACUUCUGAUGUACUACCUAAAAGAACAUAUACAAUAUCUUAAAGAACUUAUUACUAACCACAGCAGAGCUAAGCAUCUCCUCGCUAUCUCAGAUAUAGAAAUCAAGGUUAAGAUGAAGUUUGGACCAACACUAAAACUGAUCAACCCAGAAAUGAUAAGUUACUUGAGAUCAAAUGUUGCAGAUAGCAAGGCUACAGCUUUACUUCUCAGUGUAAUGAAUAAAAUGUAUUUCUCAUAUUUAGAAAAGGAAAUGAAUCCCUUGGAUCGAAUUCUUAACAUAUGGUAAGCAAAAAUUUAACUAUACCUUCCUUUUUAAUUUCCAUGGCUAUUAAUUUUGACCUUAUUUUAAACGAUAAUUUUUUUAUUUCAAUAUUUAGGAUAGCAAUCCGCCGGGGAUAAACCGUAAUACCUUUUAUUAAAAAACGCGUAUGUUCUCUGAGAGUUUCAUGGUUUUGAGUUCAUAACGUUGUCCACAGAUUCAAUCAAUGUUUUCUAAGAAUCAUCAAUAAUUCGUUUCGUGUUAAUAAUGAUAUUCAUCAAUUUCCUAGGUUCUAUUUCUCUCUUCAGUUAGUCAUUUCAAGACUCGGCCUUUAGUGUCAGUGUAUUUUAUGAUGAAGCUUAUCUCGCUAGAGCCGUCUUGAGGGGGUAUGCGCUCAGCUUCUAAUUGAACACUAGAACUUCAUUCAGCCAACUACUCACACAUUUGACUGCUAAUUUUGUUGUACGUGGCUGGCGAAACUUUUGUAAAAAUAACCAUCAUAAUCUUAAAUUGGGUAUUAGCACGAAUGGUUACUUGUCGCUCGAGUUUCUUGCACACGCAAUGAUUUUAAAUAUGGUUGAUUGCAGAGAUCGUGGAGCACCAGAACAAUUUUUAUAAGACUGUCUUCCCAGUCAGCCAUGUGAAAAACUAUUCAGACAAUUACGUUCAAUGGCUACAACGAAUCAAACUGUGAUAAAUUUCACUGCUAAGGAAUUCACAGAUAAAUUGAAACGCGUACACAUGAAAUAUUGUCGCUGCAGCACUACUCUGCAAUUCGCUGGUGAGUCCAGAGACGCGAAGAUUUCCAGCGAUGUCAUUUUGUAUGAUUAUUUCUCGCACAGUACAAUGCAGUUUUAAUGUUCUUUGAUUAAAUUGACAUAGUUUUGCGACUAGAAUACAUUCAAAAUUAUUAGAAAAUAUUACAGUGGCACAUUUCGUCGAAUCAAUUGUUGUUGUUGUUGAAUUCGCUGGAAAAUGCUUGUCAGACGAGCGACUCGUCGCUUCCGAUUUUUUCUGCAUGCACAAUACGAUAUCAUGUAUAGAAACAGCAACUCGAUUCAUAUGCCUGCAUUGUCCCGUAUACAAGAGAAGCGUAUCAUUUUGGAACAGCCUCCGUUGGAUAGCGAAAUUAUAACGCAAGUGUUUAGAGCGCAAUCUGAAGCUAAAGAGCUACUUAUAGAUGUAGGUAUUGCUGUAAACGAUAUAGACAUGACCGAUUCAAUACAUAAUAAAGCAAAUUUGAAGCAAUUCGAAUUCAUUAAUGUAACUAGCUUUACAGAUAGUGACAGUUUGGAUGAUAUAGAAACAUAUAACGAAAAUCAAAAGCUAGUUUGCGAUCAUGCAAAUUAUUUUGGAAACAGCGAACACUGCGAAGAAACAGAAAACGACAGUGCCAAUAAAGAAAACCGACAGCUUGCCAACGCUGUAAACCAUGGCAAUGUUCAAACCGCUAAAGAAGGGGAAAUCUUCGAUGCUUCGAUGUUGUUUGAAAAUUCGAAAGGUUGUCUUAAUUUGAAAAAUACAACAUCAGGAGAAAAACACUCGUUCAAGAUUCGUGACAAUGAUACUGAAAUUAAAAAUAUAAAAAAGUCAACAUUGGUUUGGUUGUUGACAGAUAAAAGGCACUCUUUCAGUUGAUCGUACGAGACGAUUCAUGGAAUCGCUUGCUUGAAGCACGCAUUAGUACUAACUUUGCCGAAGACGACACUGCAACAAAAAAAGCUUAUCUAAUAAAUAUGCAUACAAUUAAUUUUUUUCCUAUCUAUACGUUC